AUACGUAGGGGGCGAGCGUUGUCCGGAAUUACUGGGUGUAAAGGGUGCGUAGGCGGGACUGCAAGUCAGAUGUGAAAUGCCGGGGCUCAACCCCGGAGCUGCAUUUGAAACUGUGGUUCUUGAGUGAGGUAGAGGUAAGCGGAAUUCCUAGUGUAGCGGUGAAAUGCGUAGAUAUUAGGAGGAACAUCGGUGGCGAAGGCGGCUUACUGGGCCUUUACUGACGCUGAGGCACGAAAGCGUGGGGAGCAAACAGGAUUAGAUACCCUGGUAGUCCACGCUGUAAACGAUGAUGACUAGGUGUGGGGGGACUGAACCCUUCCGUGCCGCAGUUAACACAAUAAGUCAUCCACCUGGGGAGUACGGCCGCAAGGUUGAAACUUAAAGGAAUUGACGGGG
rnacentral:rRNA from 1 species